CCGGGAGCGGCUGGGUGACGAGGCCGCCGCACUGGCGCUGCGCCAGGGCGAGACGGCGGGCACUCCGGCCCGCGUGCUGCAGCGCCGCUCCCAGGC
rnacentral:tRNA from 1 species